CCCACCCCAACACACACACACCCUCCUCACCGAAUUGUCCACCCACCACCGAUUUGGUAAAGUUUGAGUGGUAAACUAUUGUUGAUGGUGGUGUUUACCGAGUGGCAAACUCUUUUGCCGACCUUUGCCGACUCCCACUCCUAACACCCUUACCACUGUCGGCCAAUCAACUUAUCCACCAUCACUCGCAAACACUGACCACCUCUUUGUUAUACCACUGCUGAUCACUGUGACACCUUCUUUCAUCACCACCGUCGACCAUUGUCGACGAGCUCGUUUAACCACCGUCGAUUUUUGCUGUGCCGGGUGUCAUAGGAUCACCGUCAACCUCCGAUUACCCCAUUGUUAAUCACCGUCGGCCGACCACCCUUCACCACAUCCAUCUCCGACCACCUGUACCGCCGGCUGAUAACCAAUCACCUCCUUUCUCUCCUCCGUCCGAUCCCCACCACAAUCACAACAUCACUUACCUGUUUCCGAUUAAACAUUACCCACCUGUCAACGACCACCGACUCCCGUGAACCCAUCAUCUUCUUCUCCGCCAACGACCACCGUCCUUUUCCCGCAUAUUCACCGACAACCACAUCCACCGUGACUUCUGAUCACCGUCGCCCCCAUAUCCACCAUCGAUGGACAGCUACCGACGACUACCCAUAUACAUCACCUCUGGCAUGUAAGUUGAAGAGUGAAUCCAGGUUUCGAUCAGUUUUGUCCAUACUCAAUCUCCGUUUGGACGAAAGUGGUUCAAACGAUUUCCAGACAAGUGUCCCGUGUUGAAGCAGCCACGAACGAAAUGCUAUACGGUUGCGGUGGAACGAGGCUCACAUGGAUUCAACCGCGUCAAAUCAGGGGAGUAUGUUCCAUUUAUCUUUGUAUUUUGAUUUAUAUUUGUAGUGUGUCAAUGGUUUCUCGCUCCAUUGAGGACAAUGAAGGAAAUAAGUGUGGGGAGGGGAGACUAGCGUCUAGUGUGUCUUAGUCGUGUUAGUUGUGUCAGUCGGGUCGUAAAAAAAAAUAAAUAAAAAAAUCAAAAAUAAAAAAAAUUGAAAAAAAAUAGAAAAUGUUUCAAGGAAAUUUUUGCAAUAAAUGGAAGAUGAUAGAUAUAAUUGGAUCAUUGGCAUUUGAUUACUAUAUAUAUGAGAUAAUAAACGAUCAGUCAUGCAUCUAAUUUAGGAUAUAUGGGUAGACCCAUCCAGUUGAAGAGUUUCUUAGGAAUGAUAUAAUUUACCUUAUAUUAGGAAUCUUGUGGGUUCUCACCUUAGAAGUUGUGACAAAACUGAAACUGUGGAGAGUAUGAGAGGUACGUCAUAAGUAAAAAACUUAAAAGUUUUUCCGAUUAAAUUGGCACACCUGUUUCUUUUUGUGAAAACAAAUCCGAAACAGUGUGGCGCCCAAAAAAAUGUAUUCCAAUUCAUUUGAGCACAUGUGAAAAAAAAA